rnacentral:rRNA from 1 species
UACAGAGGGUGCGAGCGUUAAUCGGAAUUACUGGGCGUAAAGCGUGCGUAGACGGUAGCGUAAGUCAGAUGUGAAAGCCCGGGGCUCAACCCCGGAAUUGCCUUUAAGACUGCAUCGCUUGAAUCCGGGAGAGGUGAGUGGAAUUCCGAGUGUAGAGGUGAAAUUCGUAGAUAUUCGGAAGAACACCAGUGGCGAAGGCGGCUCACUGGACCGGUAUUGACGCUGAGGUGCGAAAGCGUGGGGAGCAAACAGG